UGGGGAAUAUUGCACAAUGGGCGCAAGCCUGAUGCAGCGACGCAGCGUGAGGGAUGACGGCCUUCGGGUUGUAAACCUAUUUCAGUAGGGAAGAAGCGAAAGUGACGGUACCUGCAGAAGAAGCGCCGGCUAACUACGUGCCAGCAGCCGCGGUAAUACGUAGGGCGCAAGCGUUGUCCGGAAUUAUUGGGCGUAAAGAGCUCGUAGGCGGUUUGUCGCGUCUGGUGUGAAAACUCGAGGCUCAACCUCGAGCUUGCAUCGGGUACGGGCAGACUAGAGUGCGGUAGGGGAGACUGGAAUUCCUGGUGUAGCGGUGGAAUGCGCAGAUAUCA
rnacentral:rRNA from 1 species